rnacentral:ncRNA from 2 species
ACAUCAAACGGCGAUGGAGUUCGCCGUUCAAAUGCCUCUGAGGGCUUGCCCCGGGCUGAUGACUCCUACCCGUCU